rnacentral:rRNA from 1 species
ACGAACGCUGGCGGCGUGCCUUAUACAUGCAAGUCGAACGAGGUCCAUGGGAGCUUGCUCCCGGAAGACCAAGUGGCGAACGGGUGAGUAUCACGUGAGAAACCUACCCUGGAGUGGGGAAUAACCCGAGGAAACUCGGACUAAUACCGCAUAUCUUCCAAGAGUCGCAUGGCUCAUGGAAGAAAGAAUUUCGCUCUAGGAGGGUCUCGCGACCUAUCAGCUAGUUGGUGGGGUAAUGGCCUACCAAGGCAACGACGGGUAGCUGGUUUGAGAGAACGAUCAGCCACACUGGAACUGAGACACGGUCCAGACUCCUACGGGAGGCAGCAGUAGGGAAUCUUGCGCAAUGGGCGAAAGCCUGACGCAGCAACGCCGCGUGCGGGAUGACGGCCUUCGUGGUUGUAAACCGCUUUCAGCAGGGACGAAAAUGACGGUACCUGCAGAAGAAGUCCCGGCUAACUACGU